CCGAGUGUAGCUCAGUUGGUAGAGCGAUUGACUGUAGUGUUCUAUACUGUGUUUCAGUAUUCUCGGAAAUCAAUUGGUCGCUGGUUCGAUUCCGGCCACUCGGA
rfam:Phytophthora infestans T30-4 supercont1.26 genomic scaffold, whole genome shotgun sequence.